UAAAAGCGGCUGCCGGCGCCUCAGCGAGCGCAGAAGUGUAUGGAGGCGGCUGCCGAGAGGUUCUCCGGCAUGGCGGCCCUUAACGACCGCUUGUCGGGGAAGAGGGAGGCCGAGACGUUACGGACUCCGAGCAGGAGCAGCCGCCGCCCGCCGGGGCCGUUCCGUCGCGAGGCGGCCUUCCUCCGGAAGCUGCGCCUUGAAGGACGGGCCGAACCGGAAGCAGGGGGAAACCGGAAGUGUCCCGCCGAGGGCGGCGAGGCCUUGCCUGAGGCGCUGAGGGAGAUCCGCGCCGAGUACGAAGGCCUGGCGGCGCGGAACCGGGCGGCGGCGGAGGAGUGGCGCCGGUCCGCCUUGGCCUCGGAGGCCCGAAGCGCGGCCAGGAGCCGGGAGGCCCUGCGCGGGGUGCGGAGGGAGGCCUUACAGUACCGGGCGAAGCGCCAGGCCCGCGCCGGGGAAGCCGAGGGGCUCCGCCGCCGCAUCAAAGGCCUCCAGGCCCGCCUCCGGGAGCUCCACGGCCAACAGGCAGGGCAGCUAGGCCGCAAACAGGAGAGGGUGGCCGAACUCGAAGAAGAGAUCUCUGAGGCCAAGGAGGAGAUGGGCAGAUACCUGCAGGAGUACCAGGAGCUGCUGAAGGUCAAGAUUGCGCUGGACGUGGAGAUUGCAGCCUACAGGAAGCUUCUGGAGGGGGAGGAGAUGUGGUGGAGCGCUGUGACUUGGCCGGAUGCAACCAAGUGACCCUCCUGACGUCUCCUGCCCCCUUGUCUGGUUCAUCUCCAUUGGCAUCUCCAUCUCCCCUUUCCCCCUUUAAGAUGCUCAGGGUCUCCCCUUUCUUGGCAGGUGGCUCGUGCCCCGAUGGCCUGGGAACUGGGAGCUUCCUGUGGGCCAGAGAUAACGGCAUAUGAA